UACGUAGGUGGCGAGCGUUGUCCGGAUUUACUGGGCGUAAAGGGAGCGUAGGCGGACUUUUAAGUGAGAUGUGAAAUACCCGGGCUCAACUUGGGUGCUGCAUUUCAAACUGGAAGUCUAGAGUGCAGGAGGGGAGAAUGGAAUUCCUAGUGUAGCGGUGAAAUGCGUAGAGAUUAGGAAGAACACCAGUGGCGAAGGCGAUUCUCUGGACUGUAACUGACGCUGAGGCUCGAAAGCGUGGGGAGCAAACAGGAUUAGAUACCCUGGUA
rnacentral:rRNA from 1 species